rnacentral:tRNA from 1 species
GGGUGUAGCUCAGUGACAGAGGGCAUGUCUUAUACACAUGAGGUCCCAGGUUCUGUCCCUGGCACCUCCA